ensembl:lncRNA
AUGUCGAAGUCGUCAUCGGAUGGGUUGAAUUAUACAUUGUUAUGUAAGGGACCAUUUAGAUCAUUAGAUCUCCUUCUCCUCUUCCUAGGCCGCUUCCUCUAUCUCCUUCUCCUCUUCCUCUAUCUCCUUCUCCUCUUCCUCUACGUAGGCUGCUUCCUCUAUCUCCUUCUCCUCUUCCUCUAUCUCCUUCUCCUCUUCCUCUCUCUCCUUCUCCUCUUCCUCUAUCUCCUUCUCCUCUUCCUAGGCCUAUUCCGCUAUCUCCGGCUCCUCUUCCUGGGCCUCCUCCUCUACCUCCUUUUCCUCUACCUCAUUCAUCUCCUCUUUGAGCUCCCACUCUCAUUCUCACUCUUCUUCUUCUUCUCCUUCUUCUUCUUCUAGCUCCUUUUAUUUUUGUUGAAGACAGGUGAACUCACCUGCUACCUUUUAUAGCACACAUGAGUGCUGCAUUUUCAAAUUAGCACAUGUGUGUUUGCACACCUGGUGGAUGUGAUUAUCCAAUUCAUUCAUUAGUGUGGUCAUUGGCAAUCCGGGGCUUUGUAAUGACAAGGAAGUAACCUCACAAUCCUUAUCUGUGUCUAAGGUGUGAAUAUGUGUGUAGAGUUUUACAAAUCACUGUGUAAUGUUUUGCAAAAAGGGUGAAGCAGACUUUGUGUUUAAUGUUGUGCAAAUCUGUGGAGGUGUUUUGCUCAUUGGAGUAGAAUUUUGCAAAUUGUGUGGAAAUUUUUAUUUUAGUGUGUAAACAAUCGUAAAAAAAAAAAAAAAAAAAAAAAAAAAAAAAAAAAACUGUAAUAAUCAGCUCUGUUGGUGCCCUGGGCAAGAUUUUAGAUAUCCGCACCCCCCCCAGCAAUUAUCCCUCUGCAUGCCACUGUUGGUACAUGUGCCGUAGGUUGCCGACCCCUGCUAUACACUGUUGUAUAAAAUUAUUACCAUAUUUAUGUGCUGAUAUUCAGAAAAGUACAUUGCUUGUGCAAUGAAUAUAAAAACAUAAAAACUCUUACUUGUUUUUUUUUUUUUUUUUCAUUGCUUCAAUUAUAAGGUCAUGCUAACUGCAUUCUAAUGGGCUUCAUCGUGCAGGGAAUGCUUCUGGAAUCUCAACAUGUGUUUUUGUUUGUUUACUCGUCAUACUUUUUUCGUUGACAUAUCGUUACUUGUCAGCUCUCCUAUCAUCUCUCAGUCCCUCACACUCACACAUAGGCCUACAGCACAAUGACAUUAUGUCAGGGGAAUGUCUUUAAAUUCAGUGGUUCCCAACCUCGUUCCUGGAGGCCCCCCAACACUGCACAUGUUGCAUCUCUCCUUUGUCUGACACACCCAAUUCAGGUCUUGGAGACUCUACUAAUGAGCUGAGGAUCUGAUAAAGGGUGUGUUUGAUUAAGGAGACAUGGGAACCUGCAGUGUUGAGGGGCCUCCAGGAACGAGGUUGGGAACCACUGUUUAAAUCCUAAUCAAGUAAAAUCAUACCUUCUGUUGAUUUCUUUUUAAAGAAUUUAAAAUGUUGCGCUUGAACCAUUUUGCCUGAAAAAUAAGGGAAACUUGCUUCAGCUUACUGCAGCUUGUUACAAUAUCGAGGUCUGAUUGGCCAAUCACCAUUAUUUAGUUUGUGAAUUAUAGAGAAGUAGAGAAUUUUAACAUUUAAUUUGCAUGAUAAGUUUUACAUAAUACAGAACAUCUAAAGGGGAUGGUUAGGGGGAAUGGUGGUUCCACAGGGGGACUCUUUUUGUCAUUUUUUUCCAAUGGGGGAUGCCAUCAUCCCUCAAUUCGACCCCUUUAUAUACUGUAGAGAGAGGAUCAUUUUCUUUUUUCUUUGUUCAGUUGUGAUUAUUGAAACUAGUAGUACAGAGGAAGGAAUGAUCGCUAUCACUUGCGUUCUGCUCUGCACAAAUCUGCGGGGCGUAACGGGAGCUGAUCGCGGCCACUCUAGUCUUGUGUUGGGAUUAUACCAGCACGUUUCUGAACCGUCCCAGAAGCGGCUCUGAAAGGGGGUUAAUACAGUGAUCUGUCAUGCCACAUCAAAGACUGUCAAAAUGCCAUUAUUUGAAUUUCCUGAAAAAAAAUGAAAGACCCAUACCAAAAUGGCUGGGUACGAAUACCUGUACCAUUACACCCCAGAUAGAUAGAUAGAUAGAUAGAUAGAUGGGCAUCAAAAUAUACAGAGAUAACUUAAAUAAACAUAAAAAACAUUCUGUAUAUAGAAUAGAA